AUGCUAAUUGAGUAUUUAAUUUAAAUUGUAUAAUGGAAACAGGCCAUUUCUCUGCAUCUGAAUUUUUAUUUAAAAAACUAGGACGAAUGUGAUAGUGUUUGUUUAUACUCUUGUUAGCAGUACAUAAAUACAAUAUAUGUAUAUACAAUACCAAAUAACAUCCGUGGAAGUCAAAAAUACUGUCGAUACCAGAGUACAUUGAAUAUAUUUAUUUUAGAUUAAAACUCGGUUAUUUAUCUGAAAUGAUGAUUUCUAAGUUGAAUAAUACCACAGAUGAUGAGUAAUAAGGUAUAGAACUGGAUAUAAGAAUAUCUUGGAGUUUCGUAACAAACUUGGCUAUUUUUAACACUCAGUGUGAUAAUAAUAUCAGAUAAAAGAAAUUUAUAACUAAAAUGUGGCAGUACCGUUUUGUUCUAAAUACCAUGUGAAAUAUACAUAUAUCAAACAGACAUCUCACGCAACUUCCAUGUUUGUAUUUUUCACGGUCCAUGUAAUCUAGACUUGACUGCAAAGUAGUGAAAGCAAAAUAAAAUGAAUAAGAUACGAUAAUCUGGGACACAAUGGAAUUAUAGAAUUACACCAAGAUUUCUAAAGAUGUUAUUGGCGCCUCUCGGUCAACCACGUGUUGAUAAAUAUGUGUCUAGCCGAGGCAAACGUUCUUCUGUCACCGAAAAAGGAUCAUUUGUUCCUCCCGUUUGAUCUCCCUCGUUGCACUAUCUUUCAACGCGCGACUCAAGAAUGAGAUGCACGCAGAAAAGCCAACUUGUUUUAGUAGGACUCAAGUACCGACUAACGUCGGAUGUCUUCGAGUUCUCUCUCCUGUUCCGACCUUUUCUCUUGUCAUUCUUUUUAUCAAAACCUACGUUUUCUUCUCAUUUUAAUUACAAUCGCACACCAAUCUUACGUUAUCAUUUGUUGAUAUACUUGGGAGGUUAAUUGAAUUAUUUAUUCAAUAAAUCAGUUUGAUGAUAAACAUUACUGUGAAAUUGUUUUUGAGUUUCCAAUGCAAAAUUAUAAGCUAUCCAAGAGCAUUUAUUGAAAUUACAUCAAAGUGCAUGGAAGAUAAUAAAUUAUAUAACGACAACGUAUACAUUCUGAGGAUUUAAUGAAAAUUACAUUGGAUAAUCAUUAAUUGCGUUAGAAAUAUGUCGAUCGCAAUGAGAUUACCGUUCUUCUUCACGACACUACUACUCGUGAUUCUUUUUGGUAUUCCAUCGACCUUGGUUGAAUCAGCGCCGCAUCAGAGGACCCUACGAUUGUGCUCCAAGAGCUUGAGUGAUGCUCUUUAUCUCGUUUGCAGUGAUCGUGGUUAUAAUGAGCCUUUUUCGAGUAAUGGGGAUGAAGACACAAGAGUCUCAGCUGGUCCGGGAAUUGUGGAAGAAUGUUGCCAUCGGUGGUGUAGCUACGCGCAACUUGAGCAGUAUUGCAAACCUCCAUCCUCUAAUUAAAAGUGUUGGAUUUCGCAAGAUGGAAUCUAAAUCACGAGAAAUUCAAGGAAAGUCAUCAUUUUCAUUAAAGCAACAAACGAUGUUUGAUAAAGAAAAUCAGUUAAUUAUCAUCAGAAAACUAUCAGCAAAAUACAGUGAUGUCUAUCACUGCAGAAAACAUUUAAUUUCAACAAUCAAUAUGAUUAUUAUUUACAACAAAGUUACAAGGCGUAAUCACGAAAAAAUAACAAGUUGUAGUGGAGAGAAAGGCGUAUGGAACGAGGAACCAAAGUCUAUUUAAUAAUAACGUAUAUGUUGGACUUGAUUGACUUCUCUGUUUAUACUGCAAAAAUAUUGUGAUAUGGACUUGAGAUAAAAGUUGACAAUUCAAUUGCUGGUAGCGGAAACACGUAACUCGAUGAUUUGGAUUAUAAGCCAUUCUUGUCUAUUGAAAUCACUUACGGAGUGGUACAGAAGAUUAUAUACGUGAUUGACUGUGUUACUAAUAAAUUAAACAAAUUAUAGACAAUUGGGAUUCCAAUAUUUGGAAUUGAGUGAGAAGAAUUAAGAGACAAUUAAUGCAAUCAAUAUAUUAUAAUACGUGUACAGUUUAAUUGAAUUACGAUAUAUAUUAUAAGUAAAGAAAAAAAUAUUUUUUCAGGCUGUUAUUAUCAAGUAGUGCUUAUCUCAUCGUAUUGAGCCCUCAAAAAAUAUUUUAUAUUAUUAUAUGAGCAAAAUACGAUGUCAAUAACUGAUGAUCUCAUUAAUAUUAA
rnacentral:lncRNA from 1 species